rnacentral:ncRNA from 1 species
CCUCCAAAAAGAGAUUUUUGUGAAUAAUCAAAUUGGUAAUUUGGUUACAUCUCUCCCUCCAGGAGCCUAUGUUUCAUAUACGCCCUCAAAAUAAAAAUCUUUGAAUACUAGAAGAAAAUACC